rnacentral:ncRNA from 2 species
UGAUUAACUCGCAGUUUAGGGGCUCCUACUUUUUUAAAGUGGGAGGUAACAGGGAACCAAGUGAAAAUCUUGGGCGGUCCAGCCACUGUUAUGAAGAAGUUUUUCGCCAGAUGCCACUUAACAAUUCUGUUAGGGAAGGCGGUGAAAAGUGAUGAUUUUAGAGCCAGGAUACCUACCUAAUCUGUACGCUAGGA